CCAGGUGUGGCCCAAUGGCAAGGCGCUUGACUACGAUUACGGCGUUAUCAAGAGAUUCCAGGUUCGACCCCUGGCACGUUCA
rnacentral:tRNA from 1 species